UCAGCUCGUGUUGUGAAAUGUUGGGUUAAGUCCCGCAACGAGCGCAACCCUUAUCCUUUGUUGCCAGCGAUUAGGUCGGGAACUCAAAGGAGACUGCCAGUGAUAAACUGGAGGAAGGUGGGGAUGACGUCAAGUCAUCAUGGCCCUUACGACCAGGGCUACACACGUGCUACAAUGGCGCAUACAAAGAGAAGCGACCUCGCGAGAGCAAGCGGACCUCAUAAAGUGCGUCGUAGUCCGGAUUGGAGUCUGCAACUCGACUCCAUGAAGUCGGAAUCGCUAGUAAUCGUGGAUCAGAAUGCCACGGUGAAUACGUUCCCGGGCCUUGUACACACCGCCCGUCACACCAUGGGAGUGGGUUGCAAAAGAAGUAGGUAGCUUAACCUUCGGGAGGGCGCUUACCACUUUGUGAUUCAUGACUGGGGUGAAGUCGUAACAAGGUAACCGUAGGGGAACCUGCGGUUGGAUCACCUCCUUACCUUAAAGAAGC
rnacentral:rRNA from 1 species